AACUUCAGCCUUGGACAAAAACACUAGCAG
rnacentral:piRNA from 1 species